CAGUCGCCGCGGGAAUACGUAGGUGGCAAGCGUUAUCCGGAAUUAUUGGGCGUAAAGCGCGCGUAGGCGGUUUUUUAAGUCUGAUGUGAAAGCCCACGGCUCAACCGUGGAGGGUCAUUGGAAACUGGAAAACUUGAGUGCAGAAGAGGAAAGUGGAAUUCCAUGUGUAGCGGUGAAAUGCGUAGAGAUGUGGAGGAACACCAGUGGCGAAGGCGACUCUCUGGUCUGUAACCGACGCUGAGGAGCGAAAGCGUGGGGAGCGAACAGGAUUAGAUACCCGAGUAGUCCCUGUCUCUUAUAC
rnacentral:rRNA from 1 species